GACGAACGCUGGCGGCGUGCUUAACACAUGCAAGUCGAACGGAAAGGCCCUGCUUUUUUGGGGUGCUCGAGUGGCGAACGGGUGAGUAACACGUGUGUAACCUGCCCUUGACUUUGGGAUAACUUCAGGAAACUGGGGCUAAUACCGGAUAGGAGCUCCUGCUGCAUGGUGGGGGUUGGAAAGUUUCGGCGGUUGGGGAUGGACUCGCGGCUUAUCAGCUUGUUGGUGGGGUAGGGGAUUACCAAGGCUUGGAUGGAUAGCCGGCCUGGGAGUGUGACAGGCUCCAGUGGGAUUGAGAAACGGCCAGUACGCCAACGGGAGGAAGCGGCGGGGACCUGUGCCAAACGGGCGGAGUCCGGAGGGAGCAACGCCGCGUGCGGGAGGACGGCUUUCGGGUUGUAAACCGAGUUCGCCUGUGACGAAGCGUGAGUGACGGAACUGGAGAAAGAAGCACCGCCUAAUUACGU
rnacentral:rRNA from 1 species